CCGCGGUAAUACGAGGGGGGCAAGCGUUGUCCGGAAUUAUUGGGCGUAAAGAGCUCGUAGGUGGAUUGAUCAGUCGAUAUUGAAAUCCCCCGACUUAAUCGGGGAACUGGUAUCGAUACUGUCAAUCUUGAGUGAGGUAGAGGUAAGCGGAAUUCCUGGUGUAGCGGUGAAAUGCGUAGAUAUCAGGAGGAACACCAACGGCGAAGGCAGCUUACUGGGCCUAUACUGACACUGAGGAGCGAAAGCGUGGGGAGCAAACAGGAUUAGAGACCCUGGUAGUCCACGCCGUAAACUAUGAGUACUUGGUGGUGGGGGAUUCGACCCCUUCACUGUCGGAGCUAACGCGUUAAGUACUCCGCCUGGGGACUACGAUCGCAAGAUUGAAACUCAAAGGAAUUGACGGG
rnacentral:rRNA from 1 species